AGCGAACGCUGGCGGCAUGCCUAACACAUGCAAGUCGAACGAGACCUUCGGGUCUAGUGGCGCACGGGUGCGUAACGCGUGGGAAUCUGCCCUUGGGUUCGGAAUAACAGUUGGAAACGACUGCUAAUACCGGAUGAUGACGUAAGUCCAAAGAUUUAUCGCCCAGGGAUGAGCCCGCGUAGGAUUAGCUAGUUGGUGGGGUAAAGGCCUACCAAGGCGACGAUCCUUAGCUGGUCUGAGAGGAUGAUCAGCCACACUGGGACUGAGACACGGCCCAGACUCCUACGGGAGGCAGCAGUGGGGAAUAUUGGACAAUGGGCGAAAGCCUGAUCCAGCAAUGCCGCGUGAGUGAUGAAGGCCUUAGGGUUGUAAAGCUCUUUUACCCGGGAUGAUAAUGACAGUACCGGGAGAAUAAGCCCCGGCUAACUCCGUG
rnacentral:rRNA from 1 species